AACGAACGCUGGCGGCAUGCCUAACACAUGCAAGUCGAACGAGACCUUCGGGUCUAGUGGCGCACGGGUGCGUAACGCGUGGGAACCUGCCCUUAGGUUCGGAAUAACUCCCCGAAAGGGGUGCUAAUACCGGAUAAUGUCUUCGGACCAAGGAUUUAUCGCCUUUGGAUGGGCCCGCGUUGGAUUAGCUAGUUGGUAGGGUAAAAGCCUACCAAGGCGACGAUCCAUAGCUGGUCUGAGAGGAUGAUCAGCCACACUGGGACUGAGACACGGCCCAGACUCGUAAGGAAGGCAGCAGGGGGGAAUAUUGGACAAAGGGCGGAAGCCUGAUCCAGCGAGGCCGCGGGAGUGAUGAAGUCCUUAGGGUUGUAAAGCUCUGUUACCCGGGAUGAUAAGGACAGUACCGGGAGAAUAAGCUCCGGCUAACUCCGG
rnacentral:rRNA from 1 species